GUGGCUGUAGCUCAGUGGUACAGUGCUUGUCUAGCACAUGUGAAGCACUGGGUUCAAUCCUCAGCACCAUA
rnacentral:tRNA from 1 species